GUGGGGAAUUUUGGACAAUGGGCGCAAGCCUGAUCCAGCAAUGCCGCGUGCAGGAAGAAGGCCUUCGGGUUGUAAACUGCUUUUGUACGGAACGAAACGGCUCUGGUUAAUACCCGGGGCUAAUGACGGUACCGUAAGAAUAAGCACCGGCUAACUACGUGCCAGCAGCCGCGGUAAUACGUAGGGUGCAAGCGUUAAUCGGAAUUACUGGGCGUAAAGCGUGCGCAGGCGGUUUUGUAAGACAGGCGUGAAAUCCCCGGGCUCAACCUGGGAAUGGCGCUUGUGACUGCAAAGCUGGAGUGCGGCAGAGGAGGAUGGAAUUCCGCGUGUAGCAGUGAAAUGCGUAGAUAUGCGGAGGAACACCGAUGGCGAAGGCAAUCCCCUGGGCCUGCACUGACGCUCAUGCACGAAAGCGUGGGGAGCAAACAGGAUUAGAUACCCUGGUAGUCC
rnacentral:rRNA from 1 species